rnacentral:rRNA from 1 species
ACGGCCAUACCACAUUGAAAACACCGGUUCUCGUCUGAUCACCGAAGUUAAGCAAUGUCGGGCCCGGUCAGUACUUGGGAGGGUGACCACCUGGGAACACCAGGUGCUGUAGGCU